UAAUAAUAAUUAUUAUGAUAAAUAGUACAAAGAAAACUGCUUAUUCAUAUGCAGAAAAAAGUGGACCCCUGCCUUUUUCCAUAUAGAAAAUGUAAGUCAAGAUAGAGUAAAGAUUUAUCUGUGAUAACCUGCGUUUUUGUU